rnacentral:rRNA from 1 species
ACGGGAACCCGCACAAGCGGUGGAGUAUGUUGUUUAAUUCGAGGAUACACGAAGAACCUUACCAGGUCUUGACAUACCAUUGACCGGUCUAGAGAUAGACUUUUCGCUUUCGGGCGACAAUGGAUACAGGUGGUGCAUGGUUGUCGUCAGCUCGUGUCGUGAGAUGUUCGGUUAAGUCCGCUAACGAGCGCAACCCUCGUCGUAUGUUAUAUGUGUCAUACGAGACUGCCGGUAAAAAGCCGGAGGAAGGUGAGGAUGAUGUCAAGUCAGCAUGACCUUUAUAUCCAGGGCUACACACACGCUACAAUGGUCUGUACAAUGGGUAGCCAAGCCGCGAGGCGGAGCCAAUCCUGAGAGCAGGCCUCAGUUCAGAUUGCAGUCUGCAACUCGACUGCAUGAAGCCGGAGUUGCCAGUAACCGCAGGUCAGCAAUACUGCGGUGAAUACGUUCCCGGGUCUU